UCCACUUUUCCCACUAUGUUUAGCCAACACACUUGCAACAGCUCUGCCACCUCCUCCUUUCUGCAAAUUAUUCAUUCACUUCCUGAGUUAUUAACAAACUAUUCUAUUCUACCACAUAUGUAUACAUAUACAUAUUGCGUAAAGACUACAGAGAUCUAGAGAGAGAGAGAGAGAGAGAGAGAGAGAGAGAGAGAGCUCAUUAGGAUGAGGAAGAGGAGUCCAUUUCCAGUAUCUGCUAUCAUUUAUCCAGGUAAUGUCUAGCUCUCGUGCUGGAAUCCACAAGCUCUACAACAUAACAGUAACCAAAACAUAUAUAUAUAUAUAUAUAUAUAUAUAUAUAUAUAUAUAUAUAUAUAUAUGUAUGUUUGAGUAUAUACCAUAAAAGUAACACAAAAAAAAAGAUUAAUACAGGACCAGGAAAAGAAUUGAGUCAUCUUAUACUAUUAUCUAAGAAAUCUGAAUACUACAGAAGAAUAUUUUUUUGAUUAUGGUUUUGGCCAUACCAUUGCGCAAUUGUUGGUUGUAAUUGCAAGUCUUCUGCUCUCUUCCUUAACCAAAUUUUGAUUUUUUUCCUUUAAUCCUUGUACAGUUCAUUUUAGUAUUUAACACGAAAAACGAGAGACCGAGUCCAAAUAUAUAUAUAUAUAUAUAUA
rnacentral:lncRNA from 1 species